rnacentral:tmRNA from 1 species
GGGCCAGUUUUGGAUUCGCCAGGAUUAAUGAAUAUUUGUAAGCAUGUCAUGGUUACGCAUGUAAAAACGUCGAGGUUAAAUUAACCGCAAACACAAAUUUAUUCGCUCGCAGCAAUGCUAGCGUACAAUUAGCUUGCUAAUUUAAUCAAGCUCGUCUCCUAGCUAUUUUCCUAUGGUAGUUAGCUAGACGUUUAUUAAGUAGGAUAUAUUUUAAGGCUGCCACCUUAAGUCUUAGAAUGAAUUUAGUAAGGUUAGUUUAUAUUAUGUUUGCCUUGUAGCAAGAUAUAAAUGAAAUUAAUUACAAAGCUAAGCAUGUAGAAAGCGAAGGCUAGUUAGUUUUGUACCGGGGUUCGAGUCCCCGCCGGUCCACCA